GCAUUGCACGCACCUGAGCUCCCCGGGCUGGCCCGGCCUUCCGCCACGUGCUCCGUCACUGCUUCAGGCCGGGACUCAGCACUGCCACUACAGAUGGGGUGGUGGCACAUGGGGAGGAUGGGGAUGCCAUGGGAUGGUGGCACAUGGAAGGGUGGAGAUGCCAUGGGAUGGUGGCACAUGGACAGGAUGGGGAUGCCAUGGGAUGGUGGCGUGUGGGAGGAUGGAGACAUCCAGUUUGGCACAUGGGUAGGAUGGAGACGGUAUGCGAUGGUGGCACAGGGACAGGAUGGAGAUGUGGUGGGAUGGUGGCACAUGGAAGGGUGGAGAUGCCAUGGGAUGGUGGCAUGGGGACAGGAUGGAGAUGCCCUGGGAUGGUGGCACAUGGAAGGGUGGAGGUGUUCAGAAAUGGUGACACGUGGGCAGAGUGAAGGUGCCAUGGGAUGGUGGCACAUGGGAGGAUGGAGACGUUAUGCGAUGGUGGCACAGGAACAGGAUUGAGAUGCGGUGGGAUGGUGGCAUAGGGACAGGAUGGAGAUGCCCGAGGAUGGUGGUACAUGGAAGGAUGGAGAUGGGGUGGGAUGGUGGCACAUGGAAGGGUGGAGGUGUUCAGAAAUGGUGACACAUGGGCAGAGUGGAGGUGCUGUGGGAUGGUGGCACAUGGGAGGAUGGAGACAUCCAGUUUGGCACAGGGACAGGACGGAGAUGCGGUGGGAUGGUGGCACAUGGAAGGAUGGAGACGGUAUGCGAUGGUGGCACAGGGACAGGAUGGAGAUGUGGUGGGAUGGUGGCACAUGGAAGGGUGGAGACAUCCAGUUUGGCACAGGGACAGGAUGGGGAUGCGAUGGGAUGGUGGCACAGGGAUAGGACGGAGGCGCUGAGAAGCGGCGGCGCAGGGCAGGUGGGGGUGUUAUGGGCAGGUGGGGUUGUUAUGGGCCGGCGGCGCAGCGAAGGACGGAGGUGGGGACGCCGGGAGGCGGCGCAGUGCGGCCCGCUGUGGGGCGGCGCAGAGCUGCGGCGCUGGGAGCGUUUGGUUCUCAUUAUGGGCUGCUGGCAGCGGCGGUGGAAAAAAUAGCAGUGAGUGCAGAGCUGGGAGGGAGAGGGGCCGUGGAGGGGCGGCUGCGGUGUGCAAACAGCGAGCGGUGAGCACGGCCAGCGUGCAAAUACAGCGUGCAACGUGUGCUCAGCGUGC
rnacentral:lncRNA from 1 species